AGAUUGAACGCUGGCGGCAUGCCUUACACAUGCAAGUCGAACGGCAGCACGGGGGCAACCCUGGUGGCGAGUGGCGAACGGGUGAGUAAUGGCAUCGGAACGUGCCCAGUAGUGGGGGAUAACUAGUCGAAAGAUUAGCUAAUACCGCAUACGACCUAUGGGUGAAAGCGGGGGAUUCGCAAGAACCUCGCGCUAUCGGAGCGGCCGAUGUCUGAUUAGCUAGUUGGCGGGUAAAAGCCCACCAAGGCUUACGAUCAGUAGCGUGUCUGAGAGGACGACCAGCCACACUGGACUGAGACACGGCCCAGACUCCGUACGGACGGCAGCGAGGUGGGAAUUUGGACA
rnacentral:rRNA from 1 species